rnacentral:lncRNA from 1 species
GCUGCUAAAGCAGAAAGCACCUCCCUCAUCUGGGCUUUCCCUGCCUGUCCCUGUGCCCAUAGGAAACUGUGGGUGACUCUUGCCAGAGCCAAUGUGUGGGGUUUUCGUCCUCCUCAUAAAUCCAUUCAUUAGAGGAAUGUGGUUUGUUUUAAGUGAGGGGGAAAUGCCCUGUCAACAGUCCUCAUGUGGCCAGCUUUCGUGGCCUUGGGGCAGAUGUACGUGGUUGCUCUGGUCCCAUGACCUGGACUGUGUGUGAUGAUGCACCAGCUUCAUUUCCCUGUUCUUCUGACAAUCAUGGUCUUGGAAGAGAUCAGCCAAAAGAUACACCCUUGCCUUAAAACCACCACGGGCAUUUCACAGACUGGAGCCUGAGGCCUUUGUUCCCAUGGGAAUUUUCAUCCUGAAUGUGCCAAACAAGCAGACAAACCAAAAAGGCUGAAGAGGACAGCAGGGGCAUGGGGAAGGGAUUGUGCUGGGGUCCCCACGGCCAUCCUGGUGGCCUUGUGGCUGUGCCUUGCUGUGCUUUCUGCUACCAGCGUGAUGUGGAUGUUUGUGAGCAUGUGAGGUUGAUUUGUCUGCGGAAGGGAAGGAGCAGCCCCUUCUCUAACUAAAGCAAUAGUGCCAGGGUGUUCAGGAGCAAAGCAAUUGUCUUUUUUAAAGGAAUUCUAGUAUCAUCAGACAUAUUUGUUAGAUUUCUUCUGUUCUAAGAAAGAGAGAGAGAUAUAUUUUUAACAAUGUCCUCUUCAUGUCUCCCCCAUCACCACUGUGGCUGUCCCAUGGGGAUGGAAGGUGUAAUCAUGUAGGGAGAUGGGACCCCCCAUCCCUGUCAGGGAGAGGUGCAGCUCCUGCAGCCAGCCCAAUCACUCCCUGUCCUGCCUUGGCUUUGUCACCAAAGGGUCACUUAAAGUAUUCCCCUUUCACGAGUGCCUAUGAACCCCUUGUUACUGUCCAAGUUGCUGCCUGGGAGUCCAGGGGCUGCCACGAGCUGUGCCAGGGCCAUGGAGGGGUGUUAUUCCCAUGGGAUGGCCAAUGGACAUUGCAUGGGUGGGAGCACCCAACACGUGGCCUUGGUUCUUCUCCUCUCUCUCUGUUCCCUUUCCUCCUCCUGGCAUCUUGCAGAGAAUUGAAUGUGGAGCCUUUAAAACUAUUUCUGUUGCAGAGUAUAUUUUGUAUUAGCUGGAAUAGAUAAUUAUAAUGACUCUGUGCACCUUCUAAAGAUUUAUGAGUUCAGGUUGCUGCUUGUAAUAACCAACCCUUGUUAUACCCAAGUUGUAAUUAAUAUGUCUGAUGUACAAUUAAAAAGUCGGGGUUUUUU